ACUGGGGACAGAGGAAUCCCAAGUGCUGGGCUUCCCCACCCAGACCUCACAGCUGGGGACUUUGUCUGACCCCGUGCUGCAGGACAAAUCACAGAUCGCUGUUUGUCCAGGUGUCUCUUAGCAGCAUAAGGCCAACUGCUCCUCAGGUCAGGAUGAUACCUAAGAGCUAGAAAUUUCCACAUAAAAUAAAGGCAGCAAUUAAAAUGAAUGUUCAAGGAAACAGGUGCUGUUGUAGUCCUGGUGAGUGCAUGGGGCCGCCGUGGACACCUGCAUGGGAGGUGACUGGAGUUUUCACAGCUCUGGUCAAGCCCUUUGGACACACUGUGUCAUGCGUGACUCCAUGCAGGAAGGACUCUCUACCCUCCUCUGCUUUCACUUUCUACUUCAGAUCUUUGUCCCAGUGGGGAAGGGGUCAACUGUGCUGAGACGAUGACCCAGGUCCACACAGACAAUCUCAGGACUAUGGAGAGAAGAUCCGUGUAAGACACAACCACCUGGAGCCACAGACGGUCAUCUGGGAAGAAACACUAGGAAUCUGAGUGUAAGCACAAGGCUGUGAAGACUGGAUCCUGAGUGAUGAGCAAAGUCUAUUUAAAAGGGAGGUUCCAGAGCACCAGGCUUGGCAGUGUGAGCGCCCCCUGCAGGUGGACACAGGAGCCUGGUGUCUGUGGGAAUCUGUGUGGUGCUUGCAGGCCAGGGCCUCUACUUUAGAGAGAAAUCAUCUCUCCCCUGUAUCCCGACACUAGUGUUGUUGCCAUUGUGUUCCCGGAAGUGACUUUUCUUCUGGAAGAUCCGGAGUCUAGCUUGUGAAGAGAAGGAAGAGGAAGGGUGAGGAGAGAAUGAAAUGUUCUGGGCUGUGGGUGUCUCCUGGUGAUUUUGUUUUUGUUUCUGUUUUUGAGACAAGGUCUGUCUCCUCCA